CAGCUUCCAGGAAGUUGAAAUGCAUCCUGAAAUUUACUUUGCCCAGAGGUCUGGGAAAACUGGAGAAAGUGGGAAAAGCUCCUUUCUUCAUAAAUGCAGAUGCAGUGUCAGCCCAGAUCCUGCCUGAGAGCUUUGCUCCUGGCUGCUGUGGCAGAUCUUUGUGCUGGAGGACAGAUGUUCUACACGGUGCAGGGGGUCUGGGUCAGGCAGCAGCACUUGGAGCAUGUUGGAUGUUGGGAAUCUCCUCUCAGGCACCUCCCAGUUCCAGGCCUUAGCACCAGCUAUCAUGGGAUUAAUAAGAUACAUUGUUCCCAGGAAAAUAUGUGCACUCAUGGAGAACCUUAUUGACAUUGCUGCAGAGAGGUGAGUUCAAAAGGCCAGAUAUUAAAAACAGUUCUUUUAGGCUGUGAAGACAAAUUUUUUACUUGAAACCAUGUAAGUUUGCAUUUGGAUCACUUAUAGUGCGUGACUGUACACUUACCUAAGCUAUGUGCACAUUUAUUUGUGUAAAGAUACAUAAGCAUGAAAAAUGCAGAUGUGCUGUAAAUUUGACUCCCAAAGUGCUGUUUGUUUCUGUUUCUGCUGAGAAGCAGAGGAUGGCUGUGGCUGGAAGGGAGCUCUGAAGAUCACCUGGAGCAGGUGACACAGCACCAUGUCCAGGUGGGUUUGGGAUGUGUCCAGAGAGGGGAACCCCACAAACUCCCUGAGCAGCUGUUCCAGUGCUCUGCCAGCCUCAAAGUGAAUGCUGAUGUGUGCUUAACUGAGUUAAGAAUAACUUUGACACUUUUACUCUAAAAAGUUACUCUAAAAAGUACUCAUUCAAGUUAUCCUUAUCGAUAUUAUUAGUAUUUACAAUGGAGAUGGUAUGAUAGAAUCUGACAUUUCUCCCAGACACUGAAAUAUUUGGGGAUGUCUGGGAAUUCUGGAAUGCUCAUAAUAAUCACGAAACCAUUAUUGUCUUUAUCUACAAAUCCAAAAUUAAUCAAUGAAUAAAAUCAGGAGAAUCUUUUAAAAAUAAAACA
rnacentral:lncRNA from 1 species